UGGUCCUGCUCAAAGACAUUUUCUCCUACCA
rnacentral:piRNA from 1 species